GACGUAGGGGGCGAGCGUUGUCCGGAAUUAUUGGGCGUAAAGAGCGCGUAGGCGGCUAGCUCAGUCCGUCGUUAAAGCCCGGGGCUCAACUCCGGGUGGUCGGCGGGGACGGGUUGGCUAGAGGGCGGCAGGGGAGCACGGAAUUCCCGGUGUAGUGGUGAAAUGCGUAGAGAUCGGGAGGAACACCCGCGGCGAAGGCGGUGCUCUGGGCCGUCCCUGACGCUGAGGCGCGAAAGCGUGGGGAGCGAACCGG
rnacentral:misc_RNA from 1 species